rnacentral:lncRNA from 1 species
GCCAAGCUCAAAUGAUGAGGCAACAUCAAUCAUGGAGAUGAAUGCUUGAACCUGAAAUUCAAAGCUAAAAUGUGAGUACAAACCACUAGCACAAAGGCUAGGGUCAAAGGUAGAGAAAAAAGUCAAAACAACAACCAAUAUUCAACAUGAAGCAACUACAUUUAAUCAAGAACAUGUCCUAAAAAGGACCAAAUCAAAAUCAUCAAGCAAAGUCAUUAUUCAACCAAGAGAAGGCAAGGCAAGCAAAAGGUGCAUACAAUUGGUCAUCAAGAAUGAAAAUUCCAUAUCAAAACAGAAAGGACUCC